ACCCUCCAGGUUCGUUACCCAUCAGAUCUAAAUUUUGGUCUGAGCAGCUAUAACAGGAGGAAACAUCACAUUGAAAUGGACUUGGAUAAUUUUGGUACAUACAAGUUAGUUACAAAUUAUU
rnacentral:snoRNA from 1 species